GACGAACGCUGGCGGCGUGCUUAACACAUGCAAGUCGAACGGAGUGGCGAACGGGUGAGUAACACGUGGGUGACCUGCCCUGCACUUCGGGAUAAGCCUGGGAAACUGGGUCUAAUACCGGCUAGUGUGGGAUGGGCCCGCGGCCUAUCAGCUGGUUGGUGGGGUAAUGGCCUACCAAGGGGGCGACGGGUAGCCGGCCUAAGAGGUGGGAAGGGCACAGUGGGACUGAGACACGGACCAGAGGCCUACGGGAGGCAGCUGUGGGGAAUAUGGCGCAACGAGGGGAAGCCUGAGGCAGCGACGCCGCGUGGGUGAGGAAGGUCGGCGGGUAAUAAACUCCUUUCACCGUCGAAGCGGUAGAUGGAGAAGAAGCACCGGCUAACUACGUGCCAGCAGCCGCGGUAAUUC
rnacentral:rRNA from 1 species